GGUUUCGUAGCUCAACUGGAUAGAGCAUCAGUCUUCUAAACUGAGGGUUCCGGGUUCGAGUCCCGGCGAAAUCA
rnacentral:tRNA from 1 species